CCUACGGGAGGCAGCAGUGGGGAAUAUUGCACAAUGGGCGAAACCCUGAUGCAGCGACGCCGCGUGAGUGAAGAAGUAAUUCGUUAUGUAAAGCUCUAUUAGUAGGGAGGAAAAUGACGGUACCUGAGUAAGAAGCCCCGGCUAACUACGUGCCAGCAGCCGCGGUAAGACGUAGGGGGCAAGCGUUAUCCGGAGUUACUGGGCGUAAAGGGAGCGUAGACGGCAUAGCAAGUGUGGCGGGAAAGGUCGGGGGUCAACCCCCGGACUGCUCUGGAAACUGUACGGCUGGAGUGCAGGAGAGGUAAGUGGAAUUCCUAGUGUAGCGGUGAAAUGCGUAGAUAUUAGGAGGAACACCAGUGGCGAAGGCGGCUUACUGGACUGUAACUGACGUUGAGUCUCGAAAGCGUGGGGAGCAAACAGGAUUAGAUACCCGUGUAGUC
rnacentral:rRNA from 1 species